rnacentral:rRNA from 1 species
AUACGUAGGGGGCGAGCGUUGUCCGGAAUGAUUGGGCGUAAAGGGCGCGUAGGCGGCCCGGUAAGUCUGGAGUGAAAGUCCUGUUUUUAAGAUGGGAAUUGCUUUGGAUACUGUCGGGCUUGAGUGCAGGAGAGGUAAGUGGAAUUCCCAGUGUAGCGGUGAAAUGCGUAGAGAUUGGGAGGAACACCAGUGGCGAAGGCGACUUACUGGACUGUAACUGACGCUGAGGCGCGAAAGUGUGGGGAGCAAACAGGAUUAGAUACCCUGGUAGUCCACACUGUAAACGAUGGAUGCUAGGUGUAGGGGGUAUCGACCCCUUCUGUGCCGCAGUCAACACAAUAAGCAUUCCGCCUGGGGAGUACGGCCGCAAGGUUGAAACUCAAAUGAAUUGACGGGG